rnacentral:rRNA from 1 species
AUGCAAGUCGAGCGGUAGAGAGAAGCUUGCUUCUCUUGAGAGCGGCGGACGGGUGAGUAAUGCCUAGGAAUCUGCCUGGUAGUGGGGGAUAACGUUCGGAAACGGACGCUAAUACCGCAUACGUCCUACGGGAGAAAGCAGGGGACCUUCGGGCCUUGCGCUAUCAGAUGAGCCUAGGUCGGAUUAGCUAGUUGGUGAGGUAAUGGCUCACCAAGGCGACGAUCCGUAACUGGUCUGAGAGGAUGAUCAGUCACACUGGAACUGAGACACGGUCCAGACUCCUACGGGAGGCAGCAGUGGGGAAUAUUGGACAAUGGGCGAAAGCCUGAUCCAGCCAUGCCGCGUGUGUGAAGAAGGUCUUCGGAUUGUAAAGCACUUUAAGUUGGGAGGAAGGGUUGUAGAUUAAUACUCUGCAAUUUUGACGUUACCGACAGAAUAAGCACCGGCUAACUCUGUGCCAGCAGCCGCGGUAAUACAGAGGGUGCAAGCGUUAAUCGGAAUUACUGGGCGUAAAGCGCGCGUAGGUGGUUUGUUAAGUUGGAUGUGAAAUCCCCGGGCUCAACCUGGGAACUGCAUUCAAAACUGACUGACUAGAGUAUGGUAGAGGGUGGUGGAAUUUCCUGUGUAGCGGUGAAAUGCGUAGAUAUAGGAAGGAACACCAGUGGCGAAGGCGACCACCUGGACUAAUACUGACACUGAGGUGCGAAAGCGUGGGGAGCAAACAGGAUUAGAUACCCUGGUAGUCCACGCCGUAAACGAUGUCAACU